GUGUCAGCCGCCGCGGUAAAACGUAGGUGGCGAGCGUUAUCCGGAUUUACUGGGCGUAAAGGGUGUGCAGGCGGGGGACCAAGUGGUGUAUGAAAUGGCCCGGCUUAACCGGGCAGGGUUAUGCCAGACUGGUCUUCUGGAGUGCGAGAGAGGGGCGUGGAAUUCCGGGUGUAGUGGUGAAAUGCGUAGAGAUCCGGAGGAACCCCAGAGGCGAAGGCGGCGCCCUGGCUCGCAACUGACGCUCAGACACGACAGCAUGGGGAGCGAACGGGAUUAGAUACCCCGGUAGUCC
rnacentral:rRNA from 1 species